rnacentral:rRNA from 1 species
GAUGAACGUUGGCUACAGGCUUAACACAUGCAAGUCGCGGGGCAGCAUGGGGGUUGCUUGCAAUUCCCGAUGGCGACCGGCGCACGGGUGAGUAACGCGUCUCCAACCUGCCCUUCACCACGGGUUAACCCGGCGAAAGUAGGACUAAAACCGUAAGGUGUCCAUGGACGGCACCCGAGUUGGUCGAACGGUGCGGGGGUGAAGGAUGGGGUGGCGUUCGAUUAGCUGGACGGGGGGGAGACGGCCCACCGUGGCGACGCUCGGUAGGGGUGCUGAGAGGAAGGUCCCCCACACUGGAACCGAGACACGGUCCACACUCCUACGGGAGGCAGCAGUGAGGAAGAUUGGGCAAGGGGCGUAAGCCUGAACCAGCCAAGUAGCGGGCAGGAGGACGGCCCUAGGGGUUGUAAACUGUUUUUAAGCGGGGAUAGAGUGGCCCACGUGUGGGUUUUUGCAGGUACCGCAUGAAUAAGGACCGGCUAAUUCCGUG